rnacentral:rRNA from 1 species
CCUACGGGAGGCAGCAGUGGGGAAUUUUGGACAAUGGGGGCAACCCUGAUCCAGCCAUGCCGCGUGUCUGAAGAAGGCCUUCGGGUUGUAAAGGACUUUUGUUAGGGAAGAAAAGGGAAGUGCUAAUACCACUUUUUGCUGACGGUACCUAAAGAAUAAGCACCGGCUAACUACGUGCCAGCAGCCGCGGUAAUACGUAGGGUGCGAGCGUUAAUCGGAAUUACUGGGCGUAAAGCGAGCGCAGACGGUUACUUAAGCAGGAUGUGAAAUCCCCGGGCUCAACCUGGGAACUGCGUUCUGAACUGGGUAGCUAGAGUAUGUCAGAGGGGGGUAGAAUUCCACGUGUAGCAGUGAAAUGCGUAGAGAUGUGGAGGAAUACCGAUGGCGAAGGCAGCCCCCUGGGAUAAUACUGACGUUCAUGCUCGAAAGCGUGGGUAGCAAACAGGAUUAGAUACCCGUGUAGUC